rnacentral:lncRNA from 1 species
CAGAGCUGCAGGUGGAAUUCUACACUGGGACAAAUGAGGACUCAGACAUCGCCUUCCAUUUCUGAGUGCACUUUGGCCAUUGUCUGGCCAUUGGCAGCCAUGUGUGUAGGGCCUGGAAGUGUGAGAGGAGAUGCCACGAUGUGCCCUUUUAGGAUGGCAAGCCAUUUGAUCUGAGCAUCUUGGUGCUGGACAAUGAAUACCAGGUAAUAAUAAAUAGCCGACACGGUUGCAGCUUUGUCCAUAACUCCCACCAUGUUCUGUGAAGAUGGUGCAAGUGUGGAGAGAUGUCUCCCUGACCUCAAUGUCUGUCUGCAGUUGAGGCAGAUGAUCACACUCCUCAUUGUUGAGGAAUCCCUCUUUCUAUGUGACCAUAGGAUUUCCAGAGCCCACUAACAGCAUGAUCUCUCCUCACUGUUUCUGC